AAAAGAUUUGCAGCAUUAUUUUCCAGUCUCUACUCAUAAAACAACACUGCUUAACUACCCAAGUGAUCCAACAGAAGAGUUAUUAAAGUUCUCAGCAGAAUUUCAGCAUUUGCUACUUACUGGUAGAGAAGAAAAACCCCACAGCCCUGCCAGUACAGGUUAGUUUAAUCUAUUUAAACUGAAGUAAAUUUCUAAGGAACUCUGUCCUUUCCUAGCAAGGAUAAGCAGACAUUGAAAAUUUGGUAAGUAUUUAACUUUAAAUGCAUGUGAUAGUGAUGAAAGAAAGUAGCCAAAUUUCCAUAGUUUAAGAUAAUAUGUAGACAUGAACAAGAAUUCUUGGAUCUCCUUUGCGACCUAAUGUCUCCCUGUCUUGCCAGCAGUUUUAUAAACUAGUGUUCACAAUGAUUAAAUUGAAAUGUACCUUA